UCUGUGAUUUUUCCUCUACUAAUAUUCCUUUUUUCAGCCUUCCUACUGCAGAAUUGAAAGACCAUUCAUAUGAAAUAUGAAGGAAUCCACUGAGAUUUCAGAUGGGAAUUAGGAGGCAUAGACAGCAAUCCCACUAGGCAGUACAGAAGAACAAAACCUGUGCUGUGAUGACAGAGUUUAAGCAAGAGGACACAGUAAAGCUUUGCCAUCUAAGUCUGAGAUCAGAGAACUGUCCCUUGAAGAAAAUAACAUAUAACUGCAUCAAAAUUGAUUUCUUUAAAAGUGCUGCAUCGUUAACUGCAAACCAAUGUGUUUGUCUAUACAGUUAUCCUACUUCCUGCAGUUCUUAGAGUGAACUGAAAUAAAUUUCCUUGUAUUUCA